rnacentral:lncRNA from 1 species
ACUUUUAUAAGAAGGCAAAAUUGCAAGCAAAAAGGUAAGAGCAUUUUUCUUUCAAACGCAAACAAAUAAAUCAGAUAAGAAUUUGGAUUGUCUGGUAAAAUAUAUUAAGAAAAAGAAACUGUUAGUUUUCAGCACGUGACCGUGACAACGGAAGAAGACAUUGAGAGUACACUCUUCUCAUUAUACAAGGUGUGGAACGCCAUUCUUUGCCUCUUCACUCUGUCUAUUUCAUUGCCAAAAACUCUGUAUUGAGGAACAAAGGAAAAAAGGAGUUUUUUUUCAAGAAGAAGAAGAGAAUGAGAGAGUAUGGCAGUAAGUAUUCUCUCACCAGUGCUUUUAUAAUGCUGAUUCUUUUACACAAUGUAAAUGGCGAAGACCCUUAUCGAUUUUACACUUGGAAAAUCACUUAUGGUGACAUUUAUCCUCUGGGUGUCAAACAAAAGGUACUAAUGCCCUUCACAAUGUACUGUGUGUUGUUUCUUGGAUUUUCUUGAAUAUACUGUUGUUCCUGAAGAUAAAAAAUGGUGGUGCAGGGAAUUUUGAUAAAUGGGCAGUUUCCAGGGCCACAGAUUGACUGUGUCACCAAUGAUAACUUGAUUAUCAGUGUUUACAACUACUUGAAUGAGCCCUUUCUCCUUUCUUGGUAAAGCAUUGCUCUCCCCACCCCCACCCUCCGGCUGCGUUCUAUCUAGUUAAAGAACAUUUUGUAUUAACUGUAAAAUGUGGCAGAUCUAUUCAAUUCCCAUUAUGUUUUUGUAAUGGCAAUGGAGUUGAGUUGGGGUAUUUAGAUUUGAGAUUUAGCUUGGAAUAUCAAUGUCAUUUGACAGAGAAAAAGGGUUCUUCUGGUAUGAAUUUUUUCUGAAGAAUAUUAGUAAGAGAUGCAGCUUGUGCCAUUUUGAGCCUCAAGGGAUUUGGUUGAAGCAACUUUUCUUCUAAAGAGCAUGUUUGGCCAAGCCUAAAAUAAGUAAUUUUACUUUUUAAGAAAAAUUGAACUUUUGAAGAAGUUACUGUUGUCAAAAUGAGUACUUUUACUCUCUUGGGCUUAGCCAAACAUGCUUUCUGUCGGCCCUAAUGUUAGGGCACAAACAUAAGGUUUAAGGAUUAUCACUGUGCUGUAUGCACAUGCUAGAUCUCUGACAUCCACCACAUAAUGGGUUUUUAUAUUUGUCAUUAAGCUUAUAUGUAAAUUAAUCCAUGUGAGACACGUGAAGUAGCAUGCUAAUGUAGGGCCAUAUAUAGCUAUGUAUCAUUUAUUAGUUCAACAUCAAGUUGCAUUGUUUAGGAAUAUAAUAAAUAAAACAAACUUUUUCUUUUAACGAGGUGAAAUUCAUAGUCAUUGAGUUUCAAUAUGCAAGACAUCAAUUACAGUUCAGUGUUUAUGGUGCCAUCACACUGGAGAAUUCAUAGUUUUCUUGGCUUAGAAAGACAAAUAAAAUACAUUUUAACUUAUAUUUUUCUCCAGUUGAAAGUGCCAGAAAGAGUUGUGCUCGCACACCAUAAGUUAUUCCUCUGUGAACUUGAGCUUGAUUCUUAAUGUAGUUGUGAGGAUGCAAUUGCAAAUUAGAGUACAUUGUUGUGUUACAAAUCCUGCAUAAACAACUAGAUUAAAAUCUGUGGAGCAAAGAGCAUGGAAGGAUGUUAUAAUCAAUGUUUGAAUCACGUUGAGGCCUCUGGCUAUAUAUAGUUGAUUUUCAAAUCACCAUUGUUUUUUAGGAAUGGCUUACAGCAAAGGAGGAACUCAUGGCAGGAUGGAGUUUAUGGUACUACCUGUCCGAUUCCACGGAGGAAAAACUUCACUUACGUCCUUCAAGCGAAGGACCAGAUAGGCACCUAUUUCUACUUUCCAUCACUUGCACUCCAUAAGGCUGCAGGAGGAUAUGGUAGCAUCAAAAUUUCCAGCCGUCCUCGAAUUCCAGUGCCUUUCCCUCCUCCUGGGGGGGAUUAUGCCAUCCUUGCUGGGGAUUGGUACAAGAGAAGUCAAAGGGUUAGCAUAUUGUCGAAAAUUAAGUGCAUGUUUGGUAUAUGAUAUUGAGUAGGAUAGAGAGUAUGAUAAACAAGAUUUUAGCUUAAUUUUUCUCACCAAAUGUUCCCUAAAGAUUUCACAGCAAUUUGAUCUCAUAAACGUGUCAUCUAAUUUGCUGUCUGCUGCUUUUGUUAUUACAGCAACUGAAGUAUUUCUUGGAUACCGGUCACAAUCUUCCCUUCCCCGAUGGCCUUCUGAUCAAUGGUCGAGGGUGGAAUGGAUACACAUUUACAGUUGAUCAAGGUAACACGAAUUUCUUAAUCAAGUAAUCUGGUUAGAAUUUUUAUUAUUAUAAGCUUGUGUUUCUUGCCUGCUUUCCUUUCCUCAUCCACACAAUAUCUUUCUGCAGGCAAAACCUACAGGUUCAGGAUAUCGAAUGUCGGACUUACAACUUCCAUUAACUUGAGAAUCCAGGGACACUCAAUGAAACUAGUUGAGGUAGAAGGAUCUCACACGCUUCAGAAUAUGUACUCUUCCCUCGACAUCCAUUUAGGGCAGUCUUAUUCAGUCUUGGUCACAGCCAACCAGCCAGCAAAGGACUAUUACAUUGUAGUUUCCUCGCGCUUCACCUCUAAAGUGCUCACCACUACUGCCGUUCUCCAUUACAGCAACUCAUUUACCAAAGUUUCCGGUCCUCCCCCUGGUGGACCAACAACUGAGAUUGCUUCGUCUUUGAACCAGGCCAGAUCAAUACGGUAAUUCAAAUAGCCUGUAAAUUCUUUUAGUUGAUACUAAUAAAGCAGGGAUCAUUUCUAAUUUUACUUAAUUUGUUGACUCUGAAAUCAGUUGGAAUCUGACAGCCAGUGGACCUAGACCUAAUCCUCAAGGCUCAUACCACUAUGGAAUGAUCAAGCCCUCUAGGACCAUUAUUCUUGCUAACUCUGCUCCAUAUAUAAAUGGCAAACUAAGAUAUGCUGUCAACGGUGUAUCAUAUGUUUCCCCAGACACUCCCUUAAAGUUGGCCGACUACUUUAAGAUUGGAGGAGUUUUCAGCAUUGGAAGCAUCCCUGACAGACCUCCAUGGGGAAAUGGAGGAUAUCUUGCAACCUCUCUUAUGCAUGCUGAUUACCGAUCUUUUGCUGAGAUUGUGUUCCAAAAUUGGGAGGAUACUGUCCAGUCUUGGCACAUUGAUGGAUAUUCUUUCUUCGUUGUUGGGUAAGUAAAUUUGUGAUUUUGAAGAACGAGGUAUUCACUCAUUCUUUCUUGAUGAUUUAUUAGUUUGCUGAUACUGUGAAUGAACAGAAUGGAUGGUGGACAGUGGACUCCUGCGAGUAGGUCAAGAUACAAUUUGAGAGACACAGUUGCCCGUUGUACGACUCAGGUAUACAUUAAGACAAGACUUGUUUAAAAACAACAAAGCAAAUCUUGGUUCUUUCAGUUUUCUUUUACUAAGAAUUUUGUUCUAAUCACAGGUGUAUCCAAAAUCUUGGACUGCAAUAUACAUAGCUUUGGACAAUGUGGGAAUGUGGAACAUAAGGUCUGAGAACUGGGCAAGGCAGUACUUGGGUCAGCAAUUCUACUUAAGGGUUUACACCCCGUCGACUUCAUGGAGGGACGAAUAUCCUAUUCCGAGGAAUGCUCUUCUUUGUGGCCGAGCAAGAGGGCACCACACUCGACCCCUCUGAUGGCCUAAAAUCUGUCACGAGAGGGUGACCGAAUUCACAGGAAGGGAAAUGCACAACCAUAACUUAAGCAGCUCAACUCGAGCUAUGAGUUAUAUUGAUUUAUUAGAGUAUUCAUCACUUGCAUCAAUUUUCUGAAUUGAUUUUGUCUGAAUUAUUGGAAUAAUUUUAUGAUUAAUUUCUCCUAUUAGUCCUGGUGUUAAAAGGCCAAUACACGGACCAAAUUGUUCUAUCUAGUUACCAUGGAAAAAAAAAACAGUAAUUUUAUCACUCCUGCGUUCCUUAUGCAUCUUUUUACUGACUUACAAGAAUUAUUAGUAAUUACUGUGGGGUAAUUUUAUUAACUUCAGUUUUGUAUAAAUACAAUAUAUUUUAAUUGCAUUAAAAGACUAUAACCUUU